UACAGAGGGGGCAAGCGUUGUUCGGAAUUACUGGGCGUAAAGGGCGCGUAGGCGGCCUGUUAAGUCGAACGUGAAAUCCCCGGGCUCAACCCGGGAACUGCGUCCGAUACUGGCAGGCUUGAAUCCGGGAGAGGGAUGCGGAAUUCCAGGUGUAGCGGUGAAAUGCGUAGAUAUCAGGAGGAACACCGAUGGCGAAGGCAGCUUACUGGGCCAAAACUGACGCUGAGGAGCGAAAGCGUGGGGAGCGAACAGG
rnacentral:rRNA from 1 species